UCGUGAACUUUGGCGCGCCUCUGGGCCGUUUUGAAAGAAUCUACUCAUCAAUAUAUGUACAGAUGAUCAUAAGCAUUGAUCAGCUUUAAAGCCGCUGUGAAGAGAUCAAUGGGGACGUGUUUUAUAGUUGUUAUUCAUUAGAUGCGCGUGAGUUUGCAGUAAUCGGCUCUACAAAAGAGAUCAAGCUACUACAGAAGGCCAAGAGUAAAGCUCAGAGCAGCAAUAACCUGAAAGAAGAAGCCAGUUUGUGCAAUCAGCUCGGGGAGGUUUCCGCUAAAGCAGGCGACUAUCGUGCCGCUAUUGAAGAGCAUCGUCAGGAAUUGGCGCUGUCUGAGAUUCUGCACGAUGUGAUUGGCUCUGCUGUGGCCAAUAGAAAGAUCGGAGAAUGUUAUGCAGAACUGGGCAACAUUGAAG